rnacentral:lncRNA from 1 species
GUUCUCCAUUGGUCUCACCAGGUCGCCUUCCUCGCGCACUUUGAUUAUUGAUCCAGCGGAACCAACUGGAGAGCUGAGGCUGCCCUUUCCAGGGGUCGAAGGGAGCGGGGAGAAGAGCAGGCUAGGGUGAUGGUGUUGGGGAAAGGAGGUUGAUAAACUUUAGGAGACGGUGCGGGGCAUUCCUCUGUACUCCGGGGCCGUCC